AGCUCCAAUAGCGUAUAUUAAAGUUGUUGCAGUUAAAAAGCUCGUAGUUGGAUUUCGGGAUGGGCCAGUCGGUCUGCCGUGAGGUAAGUUACUGGCUGGUCUGUUCUUCCUCGCAAAGAAUGCGUGUGCUCUUCAUUGAGUGGGCGUAGGAUUUGCGACGUUUACUUUGAAAAAAUUAGAGUGUUCAAAGCAGGCUUACCGCUUGAAUACAUGAGCAUGGAAUAAUGGAAUAGGACUUUGGUCUUAUUUUGUUGGUUUCUAAGACCGAGGUAAUGAUUAAGAGGGACAGUUGGGGGCAUUCGUAUUUCGUUGUCAGAGGUGAAAUUCUUGGAUUUACGAAAGACGAACAACUGCGAAAGCAUUUGCCAAGAAUGUUUUCAUUAAUCAAGAACGAAAGUAC
rnacentral:rRNA from 1 species